GUGGCCUUCAUUUGGGAUGGAAGUGGUCCCGAGCCCCCCUGCUGGGUGAGCCAGGCCUUUGUUUGAGUUCGAGACCCCCAUUUGUCUCAUCGUUUCUGGCACAUCAGAUAACUGGAGCUGACCCACUUGUCUCGCACCAAGUGAAAGGGAACCCAUUUGCGUGUGUGUGUGUGUGUGUGUGUGUGUUUGUGAGCACUGACCCCUCCCCUGCUGAGUGAUGAGACAGCUGAGAAGAGGCUAUGGAGGCUAUGUGGCGGGGAGGUGGGGGUGCAGAGCAAAAUCAAAAGCUUCCAUUUGGAUUAUCACUCUCCUCAUGCACUGCUGCCAAAAUAGAAACGAGAAGAAGAAGGACCGCACCCGCACAGUCAUUUAGCAAGCAGAGACGAGCCACCUGCGCUUCACAAAGACGCCAUUCAUCGGAAAACGGGAGAUGAGCCGGGGAAGUCUGCUGGCUUCCGCUCGCUGUGAUUGGUCAGGUGAAACAACCAACGACGGCGCGGAGGAUAAAACUUCAGAGACCAAUCGGUUCAGAAUCGCUGCAAAGUGUGACUCAAAAGUGGCACAAAAUGUGUUCAUAUUCACAGUUGACCCUUUCACUUAGCAUAAAAUGACAUUUUAGAAGGCACAUUUGCAUUACACAAGUGUGCUUGAGAUACCCGACUUAGACCUGGUACACACACAAAGAUAAUAGAGUUGUUUUUGUCCCGAUGUUUCUCCUUCCCGACCAAGGCAGACAAAGGUCAGACUAUUUCAAACAACCAUAUAGCUUCAGCUGAGUGAUUUUAUUUGAAUGCUCACAAACAAUUCAAAACACCAUUGAAGGGCGCAGGAAUAACAUCGAUGUGGUGGUGUUAUAACCUUUUAAGCAAAGGACAUUUGAACAUAAACAGUGGAGCAAAGCAUGCAGACAGACAAUCUAAAAAUACUCGCAGGCAUAUAUUCUUUAUCCUAUGAGAAAAACGACGAAUAUUACUGCAGCUCAAGAGGAGUUCAGACCGUCUCCAUUUAGCCCUAUGUCUUUAUUAUUUUGCCCUCAGGUGCCCAAGGUGUGCAGACCAGAAGGAUUCUACAUUAUAACCUCCAAACUCUAAUUCCAAUCAAGUUCCCAUGUUGUGUAAAUCUUGAAUAAAAUUCAGAUACAAUGAUUUGCAAUUCCUUUUCAACAUACAUUCAAUUGAACAUACCACAAAGACAAGAUACUUAUUGUUCAAACUGAUAAAUGUUGUUUUUUUUCAAAUAUUCUCUCAUUUUGAAUUUGAAGCCUGCGACACGUUCCAAAAAACCUGGGACGGGCAGUAAAAGACUGGGAAAGUUGAAGAAUGCAAAAAAAAUAAAAAAUAAUAAAAUAAAAAAACUGUUUGGAACGUUCCACAGGUGAGCAGAUUAAUUGGAAACUGGUGAGCGUCAUUGGUAUAAAAGGAGCAUGCCCGAAAGGCUCAGUUCUUCAAAUGUUGUCCAGACCUGUCUCCUAUUGAAAACGUGUGCUGCAUUAUAAAGCGCAAAUUACGCAACGGAGACCCCAGAAUGUUGAGCAACUGAAGUUGUACAUUAAGCAAAGAAUGGGAAAGAAUUCCACUUACAAAGCUUCAACAAUUACUGUCCCCAAAUGCUUGAGUGCUGUUAAAAGGAAAGGUCACAACUUUUUUUGAACGUGCUGCGGACAUGGGAACAUUUGUCAAUAUUUGAACAACAACCCAAAAAAAAACCAACUAAGUUUAUCAGUUUGAACAUAAGAUUGUCUUUGUGCUGUAUUCAAUUGAACAUAGGUUGAAAAGGCAUUGCAAAUCAUUGUAUUCUGUUUUAUAUUUACGUUUUACACAACAUCCCAACUUCAUUGGAAUUGGGGUUUGUACAUGAGAUCAUAUCAAUAUUUAACCUCCCACUGAUUAACCUCCCUGAGACUCCAGUGUUAAUUAGGUCUCUAUUUUUAAAUCCCUGUAGCAUUUCAAGCCUUCUUCCACGUGCAGAGCGCAACAUCAAGGUCACAAUAUUAAAAUGGAGCAGAUCUUUUUUUUUUUGUUUACAGCCGACUUGUUCUGAUGUUGCUUCAUCACCGGACCAGCUGCUGCUGGGACUCUAACCCGUUAACCGUGUUUGUAAAGGGAGCUCGGGGAAGCCCCCCCUCCCAUCCCGAAUCCCCCCCUCUGGCUCGCAGCUCCUGCCCAAGCUUGUCCUACCGGCGUCGGGCUGCCCCCGACCGCAUUGCCGAGCCUUGGAGGAAGGAGAUAAUUGUUAACCCUCUGCAAGGCUGAGCGUGCCUAACAACACAACAAGGUUGACGUAAUGAGAGGUGGAAAGGUUCUUACGCUCUGUACUUAAAGUAGAAAUCCAGAUACUAUGUAUGUUUAAAACAAAAAAACAAAAACAAAAACUGGUAAAAGUAGGUCAGGUUUAACUCCUGUAUUUCAGGCAAAGCCAAAAAAAAAAAAAAAAAAAAAAAAGUGCUGUCUGAAAUGUAAUUAUGUACAAAAGUAAUUCAUCAAUUAUCUAUAAUACAGCGGUGGUGCUUUGAUUUACGGUUUUAAUUUUUUGAACUCUCCUACAUCAAAUAAAUGUUCCUCAUUGAAAAGAA